UAAAUAUUCCAGUUCUGCUGCUGAAAACAGCUUGAAGAUAACUUUGCUUACCUUUCUGA
rnacentral:snoRNA from 14 species